CCCAUACCGAUGGGGUGGGGACCAGCACGGAGACUUUCCUUCACCCCGCGGCUUCUGUUCCUUUCAGGACGGACAGCGCCCACCCGGAGGAAAGCCUGACAGAUGAGACUUCGCAAGGUGAGAACUCCCUUCGCUCCACACGCAGCGGAGGCAGCUGCAGGGCGCCGACCUUCCCUGCCUCAUUGCGCCCCCUCCUCCUCCAGAUGCGCUCUGGGGGGCCCUCCCGAUGGCUGUGGGGAGGUCAGGGCUGGACAAAGGGAAUCCAAAAAGCCCACCCGGUGCACUGAGUAGGUGGCACCGACGGGGGAGGGGAAGGCGGGACACACCCCAAGACCCCUGCCCCUCAUUCCCGUCCCUGCAUAGAUCACCCAGCAACCAGGACACCCCUCCAGGGCCAGGACUACAGCCAGGGACUGUGUAUGCAGACGUGGCCGGGCCUGGCCGGCCUGCCCUAACUGGAAAGGAGGCCAAGCCUCGCACCUAAGGCUGGGCUGGCACCUCCGCUGAGCCAGCUCUGGGUCUGCAGGGGUUGUGGGGGGCUCUCUGGCAACUGGACCAUGAGUUCCUGCAACCCCUUCCUGUGCUCUCCUUGCCUGGGGGCAGAGUGAGGAGAGACUGGCUAUUCUGCUCACGGUGUCCUUGGUCCCCGACCUCUGGAUGGCCAUGUCUCCGCCCCCCCACGGAGUCACCACCCAGCCUCACGAAUUCCUGGUCAUCUUGAAAAACCCAGUGCAGUGGUCAGGACCCCACAGGAUCUCAGGGGCUCUGCCAGAGCCCCGGCCCAGCGGUCAGGCCCCCACCAACUGUGGUCACGGUGCACCUCCGUCCCCGGCAUGGAGGGCCCUGACCCCCUACACCAGCCUGUUGGGCCCCUGGCAGGGUCUGCUGAGGCCUCUGCACCUGGCGCAGAGAGGUUGGGGGCAGAGACCUUGGGAGAGGCGCUCCCUGCCCCCUGCCCCCAGCUCCCACCUCUGCUUAGGAAGGGCAAACCCUGGGCUCUGACUCUUGCCCCAGCGUUGUGAGGCGACUCAGGGGCUGCCCCAGGGAAGCAGAGAGUGAUGGUGACUCAGGGGACCCCCAUGUCCUUGCCCAGAACUCCCCAGGGGUUCAGCCGACCUACUGCCACCAGUUCCCAGUGGAAGCCCCUCAGCCCCCAGGUGUGAGGGCAUGGGCAGUGGGGCAGGGCAGGAGCCUGGAUGAUGGUAUAUGGGGUGGGGCGGCCCCCAACUAUCUUGGCAUGUUGGCCUGAGGACAGCUGGGGCCUUCACCCUGUGCCAUGACCAUUCCAGCUUCUUGUAGCAGCACCUGCAUUUCCCUCUGGGCAGCCCCCUUUAUCCAUCCUCAGGUCAUGGGGAGCUUGGGUGGGGCUGACACUCCCCUGCCUAGGAGUUGGCAGAUGACCUGGGCGCGGCCAGCCAGACUGGACCCCUUAGCCUCGAGGCCUUUGCUGAAGCUCAUGUGAGGGGGCGACUGCCCCUGACAGGUGUUGGAUUCCAGCUGCUGUGGCCCUGAAGGUGGGUGGUGGGAAGAACGGGAGAAUGAAGCCAGCCUUGGGAGAGGUAGGACGCCAGCCCGGCCCAGCUGCUUCCAGCAUCUGGAUCCAGCCUCACCUGAAGCCAGCCACCUCCUGGACUGCAAAGUCAUUGUCAACACCGAAACACAGGGUUUCUGACCAUUGCAACCCAGGGUCCCGGCGUGUCGUGGCUGCAGACCCUGCAGACCCCUAUGAAGAUGGUCCUGCCUGCCUUGCAUCGGGCCUCUAGCUAGGGACUGUGGUUGCAGACGUAGUUCUGGGACUGAGCUCCUGGUGAGAGGCCAGUGGUGAGGGAAGAGAGACCAGCAGAGAAAAGAGUGGAGCCUCGGGCUGCUAGCAGAGUGGCAGAAACCGAGCCUGCGAGAGGAAAACAUUGUUUCCCGCGGCCUCCUGCUGAGCCAUGGGGACCCAGAUAUUGCGAAGUCCAGCUGGGGCCAACCCUAAGGAAGGAAGGAGGGAAGGGGACAGGGAGGGGUGAGGAGGAGAGGGAGGGAGUGACCUCUGCUUAGCACCUGCACUUGAGCAGCGGUGGCCUUUCACGCGCACACGCUUCCCCACCUGGAGCGCCGUCUCCAAUGCUGUUUGUACACACACCAGCAUUCUGACAGUCACUAAAUGUUUUCUUUGAAUGAGUUCACUUUUUCACCUAGAGUGCUUUCUAAAAGCAGACCAUGAUCGUGAAUAGUAAGUAUCACUUCCAUAAAUAGAAAGUGUCAGAAAAAUAACUAUCAGACGUUUUCAGCUUCUUGUCUUGCUUGGAAGCAUCAGACGGUCUCUGAAAUGCUGUCCCUCUGCUCCCCAGGUUGGCCCAUCCUCUGCCACAGCUUGAGCCCCACCCACGGGGUCCCUGCUUGAUGAGUGCUUCCCCUGUCCUCUGAGACCCUACUUCUGCCCCCGGAGGGGUGUCUGUCCAGGGGACCCCUCAGAGGUCCCACCCAGCCACUCCUGAUCUCCCCACACAGAAAUGUGCCCCUGUGAGCCCUUCACAACUUCUGGUCAUGCCUCCAAAAUUCCAGGGAGGGGACAGAGCCCCUGGUGGAGAGCGAGAAGGCACAUGUGAAGCUCACCCCGGUUCUGUCUGUUUCUGCUCUCCUACGAAGACCCCAUAUGGAGCCAGUGACAACCGGGGCCCGUGGGGAAGGCAGGACGAGGACUGGGCCACGCUGCUCAGCACAGGGAACCUGCCAGUUCAGGGAGGCCCACCUUUCUAGAAGGUUAACAGGAACUUCCAGCCUCCAGCCUACUUAGUGACCAGCUGCUGGAGGACAGUGAGUGGCCCCUGCUGUCCGCAUCUCCACAGGGGUCACCAAGCGCACUCACAGGGUCCCCCUCCACCUGGAGCAGAGAAUUCGGAGGAGCCCGUCUUGCUGUCUUUUCUGAUGUUGUUAAACUAUGCUUGGGCCUGUCCUUUGCUGAAAGGAGCUUUCUACACAGCUGGACUUCUGAGGUGGGACCUGCCACGUGCUAACUCUGGCACUCGGAGCGGUCUCUGCCACUGGCAAUGUCCUGUCCUGAACAUUUCCAGUGUGGCCUCUCUCCUGAAAGGCCUGUGUGCGACUUCUUUGUGAAGCCGGAAGAAAGUUCUGGGACUUCCCCUUCUCCUUUGGUGCAAAGUUACACUAACUGUCAUGAUGUUGUUGAUUUCCUUUUUUUUUUUUUUUUUUUUGAGAGUCUCACUCUGUUGCCUA
rnacentral:lncRNA from 1 species